GAAAGAGAAGGAAAGGGAGAAAAGGGCAAGAAAGAAGGAGAAAAGGAAGGCAUCAGCGGAGGAAGUGAAUGCUUUCAAUAAGGGUGAAUCUUCUCCAAGUUUUGAACCUCCAAUUGAAACCAAGGAUUCUGAAACAAGAGAGAAGCCAAUGACAGUGACAAAGAGAGCUCAAAAGCCAUUGCAUUUCACAAAGCAGACGAAGUCAAAAUCUAUGCCUCCACCACUUCGCAACCGAGGCAAGAGAAGGAUGGAGACAUGGAUGUGGGUUCUCCUUGCUGCUGUCGUCAUUUUCGGCUUUUUUUUAAUGGGGAAUGGCAGAGUCUCUCUAAAAGGGCUUGGUUUCUAAAGAUACGCGCUUAUUACAUUAACGAGAUAAUUUAUAGAGCAUGGCAGGAUACUCAUAUUCCCAUAGAUUUUUAGGCGAUUCUUUUUCUGUUCACAGUGUUUGAUUCCUUACUAGUUUGCAUUCAAUUAACUGGAAGUGGCUUUGAGUUUUGCUCACACCCCACUGAUAGGUUGGUUUUCCUAAAUAUGCCAUCAUGAAUGUUAUUAUUGGAUAUUGCUUCCAGUUUAGUAUGAUGCACAUAAAUGCAAUAAGUAAGGAAUCAAACACUGUGAACAGAAA
rnacentral:misc_RNA from 1 species